AGCUUUGCGCAGUGGCAGUAUUGUAGCCAAUGAGGUUUAUCCAAGGCGCGAUUAUUGCUAAUUGAAAACUCUCAUGAAGAGAGUUUCCAUGUUAAUGGAGGCAACCAGAAUGGAUGUCCUUCUAGAAAAGGUGAGCACCU